UGGGUUUGACAUGCACCAGACGCUGGUAGAGAUAUCAGUUCCCUUGUGGUUGGUGUGCAGGUGGUGCAUGGCUGUCGUCAGCUCGUGUCGUGAGAUGUUGGGUUAAGUCCCGCAACGAGCGCAACCCUUGUUCCAUGUUGCCAGCACGUAGUGGUGGGGACUCAUGGGAGACUGCCGGGGUCAACUCGGAGGAAGGUGGGGAUGACGUCAAGUCAUCAUGCCCCUUA
rnacentral:rRNA from 1 species